UUCCUGCACUGCUAGGACAUAUACUAAAAUUGGAAUGAUGCAGUGUAACCCUUGCUCAAGAAUGACAUGCAAGUUUGUGAGGCUGUAUUUGCUUAC
rnacentral:snRNA from 1 species